UCAACUGGGGAUUUAAAAUAUGCGACAGACGUAGCGCGAAAAGCAAUCGAGAUGAGUUCAGGGUCUGGAAUUGGGAUUGCUCGCUCGCUUUAUGGCUGCGAAAUCAAAGUUUUGCCGGUUCACCUUUGGAUAGUUGUUCAAAUAUGUCAACAAUGACGACAACGACAACGACAACGACGGUGAGACAACAUCGAAAAAUCCAUGGCGGGAAAAAGCUUUGUGAAAAUUUGCCAGACUGACGCAAUUUAUGGCCCUUGGUUGACAUUUUGUUGCAAUAACCCGGAGCGGGGAUCCAAGCAGAAGGAAACUCAAAGGAAGAAAGCAAGGAAACCGGCAUGUUUCAUAUUUUGUCAACUACAAGCAGGAUUCGCUUUCCUUACGCUUGUACUCUGUAUCCAAAACUUCUACUCUAUUUUCUGGGUAUAUUAGAUGGGGUCUGAGCUAUCACAUUUUAUUUUUAGUAAUAUUAUGUAUAAAAUUCAUUGUA